CCUCUGCCUCCCAGGCUCAAACGAUUCUCCUGCCUCAGCCUCCUGAAUAAUUGGGAUUACAGACAUGUGCCACUACCGCCCAGCACUCACAGAAUAUUUAUGGAGGAAACAACAAAUGAAUUUAUUGAUUUUUAUCUAUUAAUUAUAUGGAAGUGAAUUCAGACUUCUUCAGGGUUAUGCUUACCUUUGCUUUUGAGAUGUAAAUUAGCAAAAACGAGAUUCCACUAAAACCUUGUCACAUAUAUAUAUUUGGAAAUCUGUGGAAUGGUCAACCCCAAACCAAAAUUUACAUAAGAUUAACUUAUUUCUUUCAAAUUUACAACCAAUGGAUUGUGGGGUGUGUGUGGUGUGUGUGUGUGUGUGCGCGUGUGUUCCAUUUGUAGCAUGUGUAGUUGCUUUAUCUAAUAUGUACAUUCUCUAAUUCACAGAUGGUUCCAACUUCCUACUCUUCCAGUUAAAAUAAACAAAAAGGAGGGUCCUGAGUGUUUAUGAUUUUCCUAAGAUCGAUGGUAUUUCUUCUGCAGAUGAUCAACAGUUGCCUGCCUUGGAAUUUGGAGUUCGUAAGAACUAGGUAGGUAAUGCAAUUAGGUCACACUGACAUUCAGGGAUGGAAUUUCCCCAGUGACAUUAAUGCAUCCAUUGCUUCCUAUAUAUUUCAGUGUCAUAAACAAAGUUGUUCUUUCCUUUGCAAGAAGAAAAGAGCACGGUGGAAACCGAGAAGUGUGUCUUCUGUUUGGUCAGCAAGGCAGGAAAGGCCUUGUGUGCUCUGUCCGUCAACACUGAUAAGCUAUGACAUCAGGAGACUGGGAGGAUCCCCAGCUGUUCCACCUACACUGGGUCCCAGGGCGCGGGAUCCUGCUCAGGAAGCACGGGGAGCUCAAACGGAAAGAUGAGCAUCAUGAACACAAUAAGUCUACUCGGACUUUCUUAAAUUAUUUGAGUAUCCAUAUAUUUGACUUCAAGAGACCUUUAUUUUCUGGGUUUCUUCCUUGUAGCUCAAAGAGUACGUGCUUUGAGCAUUUCAGUUGGUGCAGCCCCUCUACAAAAGCCUUCCUUCAAAAGAGUCAAAAUCUUAAAGAAUCUAGCAAAACUAGAACAAGAUGCAUCAUAAUUGGUUUCUAUGAAUUAAGAAACAAUUGAUUUUUAACUUCUUAAGCAUAUUUGUGGUUAAGUAUGAUAGUAUUUGAUUUCUUAAGUAUAUUUGUGGUUAUGUAUAAUAGUAUUUGAUGCAUUUUAUUCCAUUGCGAAGAGUAUUAAUGAUUAUAACUGACAAGUUUUAUGUGCUUUAUGGUUUCAAAUGCCUCCUACAAAGUUUAUAUUCGCUCAUUUGGUUCUCUUUAGCCCUCUCUGAAAUGAAGAAAACUAUCAUUAUCCUACUUUGACAGAUGAGGAGACUGGAGUUCAGGGAACAUACUAGGCUAAGGGUUUUGCCUUAGAGGCAGCCUGUGAAAAGUAAAGGAGCAAGAACUUGAACCUAGUUCAACUUCCAAAACCCAUUCUCCUCUUAUCCAUUCAAUGGAUAAAUCAAGAAAGAGAAAAUCCAGGUCAGGAACUGUAUCUUUGCCCAGCCACCUGCAAACAGACUUGAGAACAAUGUAAACCACCCUCUGCAGGAUAUUGAUUCUGAUGGAGUAAAUGUUGAUUAAGCAGAA